rnacentral:rRNA from 1 species
CCUACGGGAGGCAGCAGUGGGGAAUAUUGGACAAUGGGCGAAAGCCUGAUCCAGCAAUGCCGCGUGAGUGAUGAAGGCCUUAGGGUUGUAAAGCUCUUUUACCAGGGAUGAUAAUGACAGUACCUGGAGAAUAAGCUCCGGCUAACUCCGUGCCAGCAGCCGCGGUAAUACGGAGGGAGCUAGCGUUGUUCGGAAUUACUGGGCGUAAAGCGUACGUAGGCGGUUAUUCAAGUCAGAGGUGAAAGCCUGGAGCUCAACUCCAGAACUGCCUUUGAAACUAGAUAGCUAGAAUCUUGGAGAGGUGAGUGGAAUUCCGAGUGUAGAGGUGAAAUUCGUAGAUAUUCGGAAGAACACCAGUGGNGAG